AUUGAACGCUGGCGGCAGGCCUAACACAUGCAAGUCGAACGAGUGGCGGACGGGUGUGUAAUGUCUGGGAAACUGCCUGAUGGAGGGGGAUAACUUUUGGAAAGGGUAGCUAAUACCGUAUUCUCUAGGACGUCCCCAUAUGGGAUUAUCUAGUUGGUGGGGUAAAGGCUCACCUAGGCGACGAUCCCUAGCUGGUCUGAGAGGAUGACCAGCCACACUGGGAUUGAGACACGGUCCAGACUCCUACGGGAGGCAGCAGUGGGGAAUAUUGCACAAUGGGCGCAAGCCUGAUGCAGCCAUGCCGCGUGUGUGAAGAAGGCCUUCGGUUUGUAAAGCACUUUCAGCGGGGAGGCGUUACUCGCAGAAGAAGCACCGGCUAACUCCGUGCCAGCAGCCGCGGUAAUUC
rnacentral:rRNA from 1 species